rnacentral:lncRNA from 1 species
GGAAAAGAAAGAUUUGCACACUCAGAAUACAUGCUAAAACAAGCCAAGCCAACAAUCAGACCGUUAUUUCAUUUCUACUCCACACUGUGCACUUAGCCCAUGCUACUACAACAAGAUGCUUCAUAGUGUUUCUAUGGCAAGGAAUGUGUCAAGAUUUGGGAAUGAAAAAGUCACAAUUCCAAAUAAAUAAAAAUCACAGUUUUAAUUUAUUUACUGAUUUAUGGUUUUGUUUAUUGUUGCAGUAAGGUUCAAGCAUGAAACCUUUCCACUGAUUUGCUGUCAUGUUCUUCCCAACUCUGCUUAAGCCUGAUUUAAGAUGUCUACAUACAGUGUUUGCUUAUCUCUCUAUGAUUCUGGUGGCUGCUGUCAUUCCAUGGCUUAUAGCUUCAUCACUCCAAUCUUCAAAGGAGACAGUAUUUUUGAAUCUUUGAUCUAUCUACAUGUCACCUUUUUCUCUGUAAUUGUGCCUGCUCUUCUUGACUCACGAAAAUACUGCAAAAGAAACUUGCUUUGUCUGCCCUGA